rnacentral:rRNA from 1 species
UACAGAGGGUGCAAGCGUUGUCCGGAAUCAUUGGGCGUAAAGCGCGCGUAGGUGGCUUCGUAAGUCCGUUGUGAAAGUCAAAGGCUCAACCUUUGAAAGCCGAUGGAUACUGCGGAGCUAGAGUACGGAAGAGGCGAGUGGAAUUCCUGGUGUAGCGGUGGAAUGCGCAGAUAUCAGGAGGAACACCAAUAGCGAAGGCAGCUCGCUGGGACGUUACUGACACUAAGGCGCGAAAGCGUGGGGAGCGAACAGG